CCAGGAGGUCCACACAGGCCUAUGGAGGAGGAUAGCAUGAAGACUGCAUCUUAGAAUUUACCAGGAAGAUUUGCCCUGAGAAUCCCUGGGAGCUUGACCGACCAGGAAUGCACAGGAACAUUACUUUCCUUUGGGCCAUUUUUCCCUGUGAGUGCAUCCCUGGAGAGGGUCUGAGAGAAGAGGAGGGGGAAAUAGUAUGAUUCAAGGCAAACCAUGUGUGGAGCUCUUCAUAUCCUCAAUGUCACUGGGGGAAAUGGGGCUUGACUAUCACAAAGUGGCAGUUCACAAGACAUCAUAACACAGAGGCUUUCCAUAGCACAGGGGCAUGAGAUUAAGGCAAGAGCCUAGUAAUCUUUGAACUGAGUUUAUCCCUGCUAACAACUGGAGAAAAGAUGCUGGUGACCUGAUAUGCAAAGCAGGUAUCCCCUUGUGUUGUGUAGGAAAUCAGAGCUCCAUCUUUUGUGAAAGCUGAGAAAGGCACCUCUUCCUGCUUCCUGGAAGACUGAUGCUGUUGUGGACCACUCUGCCUGGUUUCAGGAAUUGUAAAUCUACCCCCCAUGGCUAAGGAUGAGUGAGACACCUCUGGAAUGCAAGCCAAAGGAUACAAAGCUUAUCUCUGACAGUGAAUGCUGCCUCAGUUUCCUCUCCCUGCCCCCAAAGCAUGGUCAGUGUUGAAGAUGGGUAAGUACUCUCUCAGCAAGGAGCAACCUAAGUUAGACAUGAUCACUUGGGAAGCCAUCAUGGAAAGACUUGGGGGCCUGCAACAAAGAGCGAGCAAUGGACCUUUGCCCCCUGGCUAUGUGACAUAGCCCGAGUCACCAUGUCCUCUGGGAGAAGUGUUUCCUGGCUCUCAUCUACUUAAGCCUGAAUACCUGAUGGGAAGGGUCACAGCUCCUUGCCUUGCCAGAGCAGUAUCUGGGAUAAAUUUGGCAUA